rnacentral:rRNA from 1 species
AAACUAACAAGGAUUCCCCUAGUAACUGCGAGUGAAGCGGGAAAAGCUCAAAUUUAAAAUCUGGCAGUCUUUGGCUGUCUGAGUUGUAAUCUGGAGAAGUGUUUUCCGCGCUGGACCGUGUACAAGUCUCUUGGAACAGAGCGUCAUAGAGGGUGAGAAUCCCGUCUUUGACACGGACUACCAGUGCUUUGUGAUGCGCUUUCAAAGAGUCGAGUUGUUUGGGAAUGCAGCUCAAAAUGGGUGGUAAAUUCCAUCUAAAGCUAAAUAUUGGCGAGAGACCGAUAGCGAACAAGUACCGUGAGGGAAAGAUGAAAAGCACUUUGGAAAGAGAGUUAAACAGUACGUGAAAUUGUUGAAAGGGAAACGCUUGAAGUCAGUCGCGUUGUUCAGAACUCAGCCUGACUUUUGUCUGGUGUAUUUUCUGUGCGACGGGCCAGCAUCAAUUUUGACCAUUGGAAAAGGGCCAGAGGAAUGUGGCACCUUCGGGUGUGUUAUAGCCUUUGGUCGCAUACAAUGGUUGGGAUUGAGGAUCUCAGCAUGCCUUUUGGCCGGGGUUCGCCCACGUUCAUGCUUAGGAUGCUGGCGUAAUGGCUUUAAACGACCCGUCU